GACGAACGCUGGCGGCGUGCCUAAUACAUGCAAGUCGAGCGGAAUGAUGAAGAAGCUUGCUUCUUCUGAUUUUAGCGGCGGACGGGUGAGUAACACGUGGGCAACCUACCUUGUAGAUUGGGAUAACUCCGGGAAACCGGGGCUAAUACCGAAUAAUCCAUUUUGCUUCAUGGCGAGAUGUUGAAAGACGGUUUCGGCUGUCACUACAAGAUGGGCCCGUGGCGCAUUAGCUAGUUGGUAGGGUAAUGGCCUACCAAGGCGACGAUGCGUAGCCGACCUGAGAGGGUGAUCGGCCACACUGGGACUGAGACACGGCCCAGACUCCUACGGGAGGCAGCAGUAGGGAAUCUUCCACAAUGGACGAAAGUCUGAUGGAGCAACGCCGCGUGAGUGAAGAAGGUUUUCGGAUCGUAAAACUCUGUUGUAAGGGAAGAACACGUACGAGAGUAACUGCUCGUACCUUGACGGUACCUUAUUAGAAAGCCACGGCUAACUACGUG
rnacentral:rRNA from 1 species